CUUUGUGGGCUUUAAAAUCAAAGGUGAACAGGUGGAGCUUGUGGACGCCACCAAUGCCACCAGAAUGGUUCCAUUAGAGGAGUGGAACCAAAAAUUCCCCGAUGGCCCUAAUCUUCCCCUAGAGGGGUUUUUGUGAGACCACCCUCAGAGGCCGGCCUCUUCGACUUGCAACCAGAGAUGCUGGCGUGGCUCCACGACACCAAGUUGGAACACUGACGUUACACGUGAGAGAGAGAGACAGAGGCAACGUCGAUUUAGGUGACCCAGUUUAUUAUUUUGUUUAUAGCAAAUACAGUUGCAAAUAUAUUGUUUCAAUGUGUAGUUAAUGGUAUUAAUGUAUAGUAUAUGAUUUUAAUCUAUUUUAAUCUAUAGUAAUGGUAUUUUACCCAUGCCUUAUUUUGGGAUAUUUGUAACUUCUGCUGUCUUUAUCUUAGUAUUCUGGAAUACUAUGGUUUAUUUCGAAAAUGUUUCUCAGAUGUCGCAUGUUUUCCCAUUCUAGAUUGAUAGAUAGAAUUUACGGUAGCGUUCUUUGGCCUGCUGUCCAAAGAACAUAGAAAACAAUACGGAAUGCGAUCAUCUCAUGUGCGGUGGCACCACAAAGUAGAUUGCAGAAGUUAACUCAGCAGCAUGGACGCGUUCCAGGCACUUACUGCGACCGCAAGGGGGUAAGUAUUACUAAAAAAAGCACACAAGUUUCAAACUUGCCGAGUGGACAGUGAAUCAGAAAAUAGAUUUGUCAAAAAGUGUGAGGAAAAUAUGCACUGUCUGCCGACUCACAUUUUCCAUAGUCCAUGUGGAACUGACUCACCUUAAGCAACACGGUGGACACGAACGAAAAAACGCACAACUAAGCAAGGGGGAACCUGGACAGAUCCAUCAGGCAACGACAAAGAUGAUUAUCCAGACAUCCCCAACGUCAAAGCAGCAGUAUCUUUGGCCUCAGCAUCCUUAUUUUCCACUGGGCUUUGUGGACAGGAAUGUCUUUUUCGACAUGUUCCAACUUUAAACUGUUCAUCUCAUGCCUAAUAAUUGUCACUCAGCACUGACACCUGGUGGACGUUAUGUUGUCAUGCAGAUGUUGUUAUGCCUAAUAAGAACAGAUUCAGAUUUGAUUCUUAGUAGUUAUCUUGCUGACUGUUUCUUGUUGACUAAUACUUCUUGCGUAUGUACUGUUUUUACUCGCUUAUUGGUUUUCUUGCUUACUGCUUUUUCUAAAAUGUACAUAUUCA